UGGAUGAAUUUGGAAAGCUGUUGAC
rnacentral:piRNA from 1 species